UACCAGCACCCCGAGUGGUCGGGACGAUUAUUGGGCCUAAAGCAUCCGUAGCCGGUUCUACAAGUCUUCCGUUAAAUCCACCUGCUUAACAGAUGGGCUGCGGAGGAUACUAUAGAGCUAGGAGGCGGGAGAGGCAAGCGGUACUUAGUGGGUAGGGGUAAAAUCCGUUGAUCCAUUGAAGACCACCAGUGGCGAAGGCGGCUUGCCAGAACGCACUCGACGGUGAGG
rnacentral:rRNA from 1 species